GAAAGAGUUAUUACAGUAAUACAGUUAUUACAGUUAAUAAAGACAGAGCAAGGAACCCGACCUUGAAACAUCAGUGAAGAUUCCAUUCCAGCAAAAAGGAGGAGGUUGUCAUUCUUGGUUGAUGAUUUGCUAAGAUUUUAAUGAUUGAAAGGAAGAAAGUAAUGAAUUUCACAAAUCCAACACCCUUAUCUAUGAGUCUAGAUUCGUAGAAUAAGGAGGUAGUUUAAAUGAGAUGUAGUGGGAGACGGUGGCGGAGCCAGAAACUUUUUG
rnacentral:lncRNA from 1 species